UACGGGGGGGGGUAAGCGUUGUUCGGAAUUACUGGGCGUAAAGGGCUCGUAGGCGGCCAACUAAGUCAUACGUGAAAUCCCUCAGCUUAACUGGGGAACUGCGUGUGAUACUGGAUGGCUUGGAUUUGGGAGAGGGAUGCGGAAUCCCAGGUGUAGCGGUGAAAUGCGUAGAUAUCUGGAGGAACACCGGUGGCGAAGGCGGGUCUCUGGGCAACAACUGACGCUGAGGAGCGAAAGCGUGGGGAGCGAACAGG
rnacentral:rRNA from 1 species